rnacentral:rRNA from 1 species
CCUACGGGUGGCUGCAGUAACGAAUCUUCCCCAAUGCACGCAAGUGUGAGGGAGCGACGCCGCGUGUAGGACGAAGUCCUUCGGGAUGUAAACUACUGUCAGGGGAUACCGGAUCCCCAGAGGAAGAGGCGGCUAACUCUGUGCCAGCAGCCGCGGUAAUACAGAGGCCUCAAGCGUUAGGCGGAAUCACUGGGCUUAAAGCGCGUGUAGGUGGAUUUUUAAGUGCUUUGUGAAAUCCCACGGCUCAACCGUGGAACUGCUGAGCAUACUGGAAGUCUUGGGCUAUCUAGGGGCAACCGGAACAAGCGGUGGAGCGGUGAAAUGCGUAGAUAUCGCUUGGAACGCCAAAGGUGAAGACAGGUUGCUGGAUAUGCCGACACUGAGACGCGAAAGCCAGGGGAGCAAACGGGAUUAGAUACCCUUGUAGUC